rnacentral:tRNA from 1 species
GAAGGUUUAGCUCAGUUGUAGAGCACCUGCUUGGUGUGCAUGAGGUCCUGGGUUCAAUCCCCAGUGCCUCUG